AGAAAGCGCACGAAACAAGGAAUGGUAAGUUCUUACAACCUUUUUAACCAUGUGCCUUACAUAAGAAUAUCUAUUCAGAAGCGUGAAAAUAAUUUCUUGAAUUAUUAUCCUGGCAGCAAUCCUGAAACGUCACUGCCGUUGCAAUAGUAACCAUGACCGUUUCAGUACGACUCAUUUUUCAGUUUACUUUAAACUAAUCUAAACUCGAAAAAACAACGGCGAUCCCCAUUUUUAUUUUGUUGAAAGUUUUCGAUUAGCGAAAAUAAUUAUUUUAUCAAAUAAAAAACCACCAGUGUACAAUUUUUUGCGAUUAAUCAAAUUCUACACUGGUGAAUCUUUCAAAAGUUGGUUAAUUAAAUAAUUAUUUUUACUGACAAAUUAAAACUGAUAAAAAAAUGAAGGUCGUCGUUGUUUUUUUGAGUUAAAUUAGUUGGUAUAGCAUCCUCACAUAUCGCGCACGAAUAUAUUUCUCUUGAUUUUGACCCCAAUCACAACCUUAUAUGGUCUAACCCUAAACAUAGGUACAGUAAUUUGCAUAUUAGCAAUUAUCUCUCAUAUACAGCAAUUUCUUAGCCAAAAUUCAAUCCCAAUACUAAAUCUCGGCUCGCGUUGAUUCAUAUCUUACUCGUAACCUAAUAUCAACACUAAUUCUACUUUUACCCAAAAUUAACACAGCACAAACCCCGACCUAACAAAUAUAGUACUCAAAAAUGUGUAUGUAUCAAAUAUUAUCCUAAAGCCAUUUUAUAAGAUAUCAAUUAAUAUGGAAAACUUGUACAACGUGAUUAUUUAAGGAUUACAGCACUCUUGGAGUGCAUUAUCGGGAUUUACAAGCACGAGUUCACGAACAAGAAACAAGAAAUUUAACACUGCACGAGGCGCAGCCGAGUGCAGUGUUAAAUUUCGAGAUUCUUGUUCGUGAACGAGUGCUUGUAAAUCCCGAUAAUGCACGAACAAAGAGUGCUUUAAACGUUUUAAUAUUCAGUUUGAGUAAACCAUAAAAGAACAAGCAUUUCAUAUUGUCACCGUUAACCGUGUAAACUGCAAAAAAAAACAACAAAAACUCACCUUUAAAUAGCGAAAUACCCCAUGCCGUUGCUCUUUUUCUGUUUGUUGGCGUUGCCUCCGAAAUUAUCGCUUCUAUUUCCUCAGAGGACAAUUCCAAAAACUUUUCACACUCAGCAGCCAUCUUGCAGUGCGAUAAAAAGUUCAUGCACGGCUAUAAUGCACGGCCGUGCAUUGUUGUUAUGUAAAAGUAAGUCACGUGGUACAAAUCGACCAAUCAGAACACUAGUUUACGAAAACUGAAUAAUAAAUAUAUAUAAAUACUAGUUCUCACGCAAAUAACACAUUUUGCACACUGCAUACCUCGCUGGCGAGGCACGUAGUGGAAAGAGCCUGGGUACGAGGUUGAAGCAAUUCUUAUAGUUCCAUUUUUUCUAGAUUUGUAUGAACGCAACGGCAUACAACAUCCUUCCGUUAAAUCAGCCGAAACUCUAAACCCAGUUUAUUCCUGCAGCAAACAUAACUCCAAGAUCCCAAAGAGAUCAUGAACUACCGGUAGACGCGGCUUCAAGCGAAUGCGUUUUGUAUGGAUCUAAUACUAACGAGAACGUCUGUUAUGAACCUGACGCGAUUAUCAAUACGGCUUCAGAACAUACUUACGACUAUGCGAACCCUGACGGAACGAACGUACCUUAAAAUAAAUCCAGUUUAUGACGAGAAAUCUGUAUUGAUUGGAAUAUAACUAUAUAGGGUUUAAAAUUAAGUCAUAGUACUUUUUCUUCACAGCAAUUAAGAGUGUGGCAACUGUUAUUUUUAACUCCUAUGUAAGAUUAUAGUAUAAUUGCAGGCGGAUCAAAACUCAAUGAAGUGAACAUUGUCGAAAAAAACAUCGUUGUGGCGUUCCAAACUCAACUGGGAACCACAGUAUAAUUUUGAUUGCUUCAGAUUACCACCCAUGAAAGACAAUCAUAACGUCUGCUAAAAAUAUGACUUUUUCUUUUCUUCUCUAUAAACUAUAAUAUAAUUUCAUUAUAUCCCUAUAAACUAUACGAUACAUUCUAUACAAUUUACAGUGCCCAUUUAAAUAUCGAGUUAGGGCUCUCCAUAAUCAGUAACAUUUUUACAAGCGUAUAGAAAGUUAACCAGUACCGUUUUUCUACGCCUUCCCACAGCACACUCUAGAAAUGUCAAACCUCUGGAAUAUAGGCCCCUUAUUACGUAUUCUGAAUAAAACUACCAUGACACUUUGCGGGUAUUUUCUUCAUUAUGCAAUACCACGUCCGAAAAGCACGCUGGUAGUUGUAUUCAGAAUACGCAAUAAGGGGAACCGGCUACUAUGAUUGGUCUGACUAUAUAAGUUCAACAUUUUGAAAAGCAUACAUUGGUCAUUAACUCUUGCCCCCCGAGUCAAUAUAUGCUUUGUAUGUAUGCUUGUAAAAAUGUUGCUAAUUGUGGAUGGGUCCUUAUAUUCAAAUAAUUUACUUCAAUGUUUAUAGCCGAUACCAUAAAUCUUAAUGUUUUUGCGGUCAAUGUCGCAACCGCAUGAUCUUUAGUUAGUAAUGUUCGCUGCACAUACAGGUUGAAGUGCGACAUUCUUUCUCAACAUAACAAUUAACAAAUUAACAAAACGAAUAAAAACAAUUUGAAAAACUAACUACAGUCUAUAUAUUAAUAUAAACGCACGUUCUUCUUUAGAGGGUAGAUGCGACUAUGCGAGCAAACGCAGGUUCACUUAUAUAAUUUAAAUGAAAUUUUAUCGCAGCGUUUUCACAUAUAUAAAGCUCACUUCAGAUAACCAAAGAACAACCCUUGUAUAAUUUUCUAAUCUGAAACUUAAUUUGCUUGACAUCAAAAUAUUAUACUUAUGGCAUCACGUUACAGAAUGAGGUUUUGAAAAACAAUUUUGAACUUGGUACAUCUAUAAACACAAAAGGAGGCUACACGAGUCCAUGGUUGUGGAUUUAUAUGAAGAAAAUGUUAAGAUAUUUUGGAAAAGCAUUCCGAGACUAUAAACCUCUCUAAAAACUUGCAAUGCGGUGUGAUGUCAUAUUUAUGUUUGCACGAAAUAGAGCGUUUGCACUCAUUCCCAAGGAACCAACUCAACAAAAGCCAUGGCAGCCAUGUUGGUGUUCAGACAAAAGAAUCUAAUUAAAAUUAUUCUGAAUUGGAACACCAACAUGGCGGCUGUGACGUCAUGUGCAAAUGCUCAAUUCAUAAAAAUGCAUAUUAGGUGGAAUUUGAGUGUUGCAUAUCAGCAGCGCAGUUUUAAAAAUUCUUACUAAUAAUUUCCUAAUUUUAUUGCACCUAAUUUACUUCAUUUUACCAAGAAAUGGAUGGGGUAAUCUUUAGUGAUGAUUUGAUUAGAUGGCUAUUGGAAUUAAAA